rnacentral:tRNA from 2 species
GCGAGAGUGGCGGAGUUUGGCAGACGCGCUAGACUUAGGAUCUAGUGCCUUUACGGCGUGGGGGUUCGAGUCCCCCCUCUCGCACCA